rnacentral:rRNA from 1 species
UACGUAGGGGGCGAGCGUUGUCCGAAGUUACUGGGCGUAAAGCGCGCGUAGGCGGGGGAUUAAGUGAGAGGUGAAAGGCUGGGGCUCAACCUCAUGCAGUGCCUCUCAUACUGGUCCUCUUGAGGGCGGUAGGGAGAGUGGAAUGGCUGGUGUAGCGGUGAAAUGCGUAGAUAUCGGGAGGAACACCCGUAGCGAAGGCGGCACUCUGGGCCGUGACUGACGCUGAGGAGCGAAAGCGUGGGGAGCGAACAGG